CUGGCCGGGUUGUGUAUUUGUUGCGCUGUGUUAGUGUCGAAGGCUGCUUCUCCCGAUGGAGAGGCCCGUAAACCCCGCCCGUACCGGCGGGGUUUUGUUUUAUU
rnacentral:sRNA from 2 species